ACGGGAAUAGCUCAAUUUGGUAGAGCACUGGACUCCAAAUCCAGGUGUUGCGGGUUCAAGUCCUGCUUCCCGUGCCA
rnacentral:tRNA from 1 species